rnacentral:tRNA from 1 species
GUCAGGAUGGCCGAGUGGUCUAAGGCGCCAGACUCAAGGUUCUAUCUUCCCACAGAUUGGGUAUUCUGGUCUCCGUGUGGAGGCGUGGGUUCAAAUCCCACUCCUGACA